rnacentral:rRNA from 1 species
AGAGUUCGAUCAUGGCUCAGGAUGAACGCUGGCGGCGUGCUUAACACAUGCAAGUCGAACGAAGCAUUUAGAACGGAUUACUUCGGUUUGAAGUUCUUUAUGACUGAGUGGCGGACGGGUGAGUAACGCGUGAGUAACCUGCCUCUAAGAGGGGAAUAACAUUCUGAAAAGAAUGCUAAUACCGCAUAAUAUAUAUUUAUCACAUGGUAGAUAUAUCAAAGAUUUAUCGCUUAGAGAUGGACUCGCGUCCGAUUAGUUAGUUGGUGAGGUAACGGCUCACCAAGACCGCGAUCGGUAGCCGGACUGAGAGGUUGAACGGCCACAUUGGGACUGAGACACGGCCCAG